GGGUCAGUAGGUUGGUCGUGCCACCGGUACGUACUGGUCUCACUGAUUCCUCCUUCUUGGAGAACCGUAAUGCCAUUAAUUUGGUGUUGCGGGGAAACAGGACUGUUACUUUGAAAAAAUUAGAGUGUUUAAAGCAAGCUAACGCUUGAAUACAUUAGCAUGGAAUAAUGAAAUAGGACGAUCGAUCCUAUUUUGUUGGUUUCUAGGAUUGACGUA
rnacentral:rRNA from 1 species